rnacentral:lncRNA from 1 species
UUCAUAGUCAUGGGUGUAUAAGAUUGGAAUCUUUGUCGUCGAACCAAUGCUGUUGGAAAUAUUAAUAGGGUUUGAUUGCGUCGCGUCCAUUAUGAUCGUAAAAACCUGUUCAAAGAUCAGACUUGUAAUAAAGCAGAUUAGGGCAAAACAAUAAAUAUCAAGAUAGGUCAAUUAAUAUGACGGCUCAAUAAGUAUUGAUGAAUGCGGAAAAACCCUAAUGGAAAUCUUUUUCACAGAAAAGAUGUGUAUCGAUUACACAGCCUCCUGCUCUGAUACCAAUUGAUGAGAUUAAAACNUCUGAUACCAAUUGAUGGGAUUAAUACGACUUUUAAUCUAUGAUGAUCGAUUAGAUCUUGAACAAGUUUAUGAGUGUAAAAUAAUAAGAACGCAAUAAUAAGAACAAAACAGCUUGAAUCAAACGUGUC